CGCGAUUGUAUGAUAAGCAUAUAAGUGUGGUAGAAAUCGUAUGAAUUUUUCCUUCAUAUCCAAAUGCCAAAUUUGAUCCUCAGAAUAUUGAUGAUGAUGGUGCUCUAAAAAUGGUAGCUGGAUUCCACCAUUUUGGCCAUUUUCCUGUGUCACAUCAAAUACACAAAGAAGCUAAAACAGCGUUAUUAAGAAGUAGCCAUCCAAUAGAAACAUCACCGAGAGGAUGAAAGGCUUGUUAACGCUGUGUUGGGAACAGGAAACAAGGGAUUUAUUAUUGAUACAAUAAUACAGUUUAUCCCAGCUGAAAAAAAUUAAUGAUAGUUUGAAGUAUAAAUAUGUGGUCCCAUCUGGAAAACAAAAGGUUAGUAUACAUUUUUUUGUAAGACCACUAUGUGACAUUGAAAUAAAGUGUAAUAAUUAUUUGCUGGAAUUUUUACUGUGAGGACUUUAUUAGGUUGUCUGUUUAUUGUCUGUUUAGUGGAUUUACAGUGAGGACUUUUUUAGGUUGCUUGUAAAAGUUUAGCCCAUUGUUUGUUUAGUGGAUUUACAGUGAGGACUUUUUUAGGUUUCGUGUAACAGUUUAGCCUAUUGUCUGUUUAGUGGAUUUACAGUGAGGACUUUUUUAGGUUGCUUGUAACAUUUAAGCCUAUUGUCUGUUUAGUGGAUUUACAGUGAGGACUUUUUUAGGUUGCUUGUAACAGUUUAGCCUAUUGUCUGUUUAGUGGAUUUACAGUGAGGACUUUUUUAGGUUGCUUGUAACAGUUUAGCCUAUUGUCUGUUUAGUGGAUUUACAGUGAGGACUUUUUUAGGUUGCUUGUAACAGUUAAGCCUAUUGUAUGUUUAGUGGAGGUUCAGUUGGAUAUUUGUCUUUCCAGGAUAGAAAUGUAAGUAAAUUCAUGCCAGUAUGCAGGGGUGUGUGUCUGAACCCCCUAUUUUUGUGAUGUAAAAAAUUGUCUUUGUUUGGAUAUAAAACCGACUAAUUCCGCAUCAGUGUGUGGGCUUAUGUCUUAAUGGGUCGGUCAAUGUAUAAACUCAGGAGGAACCAAUAAAGAUUUAUGAAAGAAUGAUCUAAACUGCUUAACUUCUGGGAUAUAUAUACGAGCAGAGAGGGUUCAGCAAAACCCUCUAUUUUUGUGAUGAAAAGAAAUUAUGCUUAUUUGGUCAUAGCGCAGUUGCUUAGGGAAAAUAAUUAACGUUUUCUACGAU